UAAAACUCAAAUGAAUUGACGGGGGCCCGCACAAGCGGUGGAGCAUGUGGUUUAAUUCGAUGCAACGCGAAGAACCUUACCUGGUCUUGACAUAGUGAGAAUCCUGCAGAGAUGCGGGAGUGCCUUCGGGAAUUCACAUACAGGUGCUGCAUGGCUGUCGUCAGCUCGUGUCGUGAGAUGUUGGGUUAAGUCCCGCAACGAGCGCAACCCUUUUCCUUAUUUGCCAGCGGGUUAAGCCGGGAACUUUAAGGAUACUGCCAGUGACAAACUGGAGGAAGGCGGGGACGACGUC
rnacentral:rRNA from 1 species